rnacentral:rRNA from 1 species
UACGGAGGGUGCAAGCGUUAAUCGGAAUUACUGGGCGUAAAGCGUGCGCAGGCGGUUUGUUAAGUCCGUUGUGAAAGCCCCGAGCUCAACUUGGGAAUUGCAGUGGAUACUGGCAGGCUGGAGUACGGUAGAGGAAGGUGGAAUUCCCGGUGUAGCAGUGAAAUGCGUAGAUAUCGGGAGGAACACCAGUGGCGAAGGCGGUUGCCUGGGGCUUUGCUGACGCUGAUGCGCGAAAGCGUGGGGAGCGAUCCGG